GGGGCCGUCCCCUCCCCGUCACCGCUGCACCCGCUGCUCUUGAUUAAGUUUCUCUUGCAGCUCUUCCAGGAAGCCAGGGGCCUGUUGUUUUGGAGAUCGCCUUAAUUUGUUUAUUCGUGCAUAUGUUCUGUCUUGUACAACCGCGCUUCGCAGCUGGUCCCGAGCAGCCUACGGCACAGGGGAAGCAGCAGGUUAAGUUUGAACCAAAGGAAGUCGCUGAAAGCCGGCCUGACGUGUGGAUCCGAGGAUGCUGAGGUAGCUCCAUGUUUGGCCCUCCCCACCCUGUACCAGGCGAAGCUGCUGGUGGUGCUCCAUUCCUUGGAGAAGGAUCCUAACAGCUUUCCCAGAUCUCGCUGCAGUACACAAAUGGAGGCAUAUGGAGCAUCCAAACUCACCUUCAUCCAUCUUCAUUUGCCCUGGCUGUAAUGGACAGUGGCCACACAACUAUCCUCUGGAAAUCAGGAAUGCGAGACCGUAACUGCUGCUCCAUCUAUUUGAAACAGUUGCACAUAAUUGUACAAGGUUUGGACACGUUACUCCUAAUCCUGUGUGCAGCUGCCUGCGAGGGGGUCUGGCACGCCAAGGUCUGAGCGUGGAGUGUGUCGGGCACUGCGGCCGACGGAGCCAGACGGCUCCACGGGGAGGGACAGAUGGACCAGCCCUCGGGGCUGCCCUCCCCAGGGAUGCUCCGUGCCCGGGGAGGGAGGAGCAGGGGGAUUCUCCCUUUACAUGGAGCCAAGGUGCAGCUGGGUGAAGGGUGAUGUGAGGGAUGGGACUGGGUCAGCUCCUUGUCUCAGUGCUAAAUGAAAGUGUCCAUUUCUGGGUAUGAAAAGACUUCUCCAGGACUAAAAUUUGCUGUUUAUACCUGGAAUCACCAAGGAAAAGAGGUGAUUGAGUCUUCUUGAUGUACAGUUAAAACUGGAGCAAGAAUCAGAUCCUCUGAGUUUCUUUUCCUUUUCAUCUUCAGUUUGCAGUGCAGAUGGGACAUCACUCUUCCCUUCCAGCGGCUCUGCCACUGUCCCUUGUGGGUUUUAUCUCAUGUCUGAACUCAAUACAGACAUUUUCACUGACGGUUUUGUGAUAGCCUGGAGAAAAGGAGGCUCAGGGCAGACCUCAUUGCUCUCUACAACUACCUGAAAGGAGGUUGUAGCCAGGUGGGGGUCGCUUUCUUCUCUCAAGUAAUAAGUGACAGGACCAGAGAAAAUAGCCUCAAGUUGUGCCAAGGGAGGUUUAGGUUGGAUAUUAGGGAAAAUUUCUUCACAAAAGGGGUGGUCAGGUGCUGGAACAGACUGGCUGGGGAAGGGGUGGAGUCCCAAUCCUUGCAAGUGUUCAAAAGGGUGUGGAUGUGGCACUUGGGGGCAUGGGUUAGUGGUGAACCUGCGGGUGGUGCUGGGUUACUUCAAUAACCUCAGAAGGCUUUUCCAACUUUAGUGAUUUUGUGCUGCAGAAGGUAGACCCAUGGCUGGCAUAAAUCAACAGAGCACCCAAAACUUUGUUGGAGCACGCAGAGGUGGUGCUGGUGGAGGAUCUGACUCCUGUUAUUUUCGUUACUGAGUUGAAGCUGUUUCUGCAGCUCUUUGAAUGGAGACAGCCCCUCCUUCCCCAUAAUGAGGUGAAAGCUGGAGCAGUUUUUUAGCCACGCACCUGCAAGGGGGAAACAAAUGGGGAGGAUGAGCAAGCCAUGGGUGGGUGUUACUGCCUGUUAAAUACAUAACGUCGUUUGUCACUUAAGUAACCUUGAAACAGCAUUCCUUGUGCUAGAGCCGCCGCACCGGCACCGCCGUGGGCAGGGACGAGAUCAGGACAUGGUUAAGCACCCACCUGCCACCAUUCAUCAUCCAGUUAACCCCACAGCUCAACUUCCCUUCAAAACCACACGUUUUCCUCUUUUUCACUCUCUCUCCACACCUGCCUGCCACCUCCAGCCCUCAGCAUCCCUGGUUCCUGUGCUUGCAGGGAGAUGCUGGAGAGCGCCUGGGCUUUGCUCCUGCUCAUCCACCAGGGAUGUGCGUGUGGAAAGUGAGAUCAGAUGGAGGAGUGCAAGGAGCAGAAAGGUUUUAGUGCUGAUGAACUCCCAGGGAAUGCAGCACAGCAGAGGCAGAAAUGAGGCUGUGAACUGCAGAUGUGCAAGGGAUGGCAGGAAGUGCAAGAGGGGACAGUGGUGGGGGUGUGGGCACUCUUGUGUGCAUCAGGAAUAUGUCAAAUGUGUGUGCACUGAGGCUCAGGCAGGUCUAAGGGGGGAUGAGAGUAAUGCCCAGGUGAGGAGGGUCUGAUAAGUGUAUAAUUCCAGGAGUAGGGGUGUUGGUGUGUAAAUAGGAGGGGAUGGGGUUGUCCCUCCGCGUGUGUGCAGCCAGCACGGUGCAGCAAGGGCAGGGGAUCAGGCACCUGCCCUCCCCACCAUGGGCAGCACAUGGUGCAACUGGAGCAAAUUUGGCUCAGAAUCACAGAAUAUUCUGAGUUGUAAGGGAGCCACAAGGAUCAGAGUCUAACUCUUAAGUAAAUACCCCACAGAGGGAUCAAACCACAACCUUGGCAUUAUCAGCACUGUGCUCUAACUCACAUUGCCUUGCAGUGAAAAUUGCUGCUCACAGAUCUGUGUUGGGGCAAACAUCGUGUUUAUAACAUGAAAAUGAACGUGGGGUUUGAUAAUUACUUUUCUUGUUUUUCUUUUCCGUUGGAUUUCUGACUCUGCAAUUCCCAGUGCAGGAAUGCUGAUGGGCAGAUGAAAGGUUGGCUGCUGGGAGUUCUCCAGCUCAGCUUCACAGACCUAAUGCAUGUCAGCUGCUGUGCCCUGUCUCCGAAACCCUUCCUCUGUCUUGUCUUGCUGGAUGCUCUCUCUGGUUGCUGCCCUACCUCUCAAGAUAAUAACAAAGCCUCUGAAAAGGUGGAAUUUCCCUUUUCUCUUGAAUGGAGAUCAAGGGGAGAGUUGUGUCCCAACGUGCAGGAUAAUAAGCAGUGUAAGUUUACUCUCUGUCUAUACGCAGUUGUGGAAGUUGGUUGUUAUCUGUGUUUUCUGGAGGAAAUGAGCCAGUUUUGUCAGGAGAGGAGUGUUUGGGGUGAUGCUUCUGCAAGAGCUGCUGGAUCAGGGUCACAGCUUUUGAUUUGGACUCCAGCAGAAAAUGUUCCAUUUGGUACAAUUCACGAGACAAAAAUUCAUUGUUCCAAAGUUAUUUUUUUCAUUUUCCCAAGUUGAAAUCCUUUUAAACUGGGAGAAGAAAAUAGUUAUGAGUUUCAGUACUGACUCAUUUCAAAAUCUAAGGCAUCUUUUUUGAUCUAACAUUUUGGCUGAUUAAAUAGGAAACCCUUUUGUCUUACACAUUACGAAACAUCAAGGUCUCUUUUAGAUCCACUGGUGUUUUUAUUAGUCUCUGAAAUUCUUGUGGAAUAGAUAAAACAUCUCCCACCCAGCUCUGCUGUGUCAGUUAAUGUGUGAGCAAUCACAGUAUGACAUAUUCACCGAGGAGUGUAUACAAAUUGAAUCUCUACGUGUGGUUGUCAGGAAACAAAACAAGCUCAAUAUCUGAUGAUGUUUCAAAGACAAUUUUGAUUUUUUUAGCAAAGCUUUUGUGGAAAAUGUAGCAGCAAAGACAUAAAAAUUACUCCUGCAAUUUGGAAACAGGUAAACAAGAGGUAUUAAAAAUCGAUUAAAAUACUAUGUGGUCAUCCCUAGGGAUGAUUUCUCACAUGUAAACACAUCUUUGGUGAAGGGAGGAACGAGACCAGAUCCCAAUCCCCGGGGGUCUCAAAUCCCAUUGAAGUAAUUUGCAACUAGAUCAAGCUGAGUCUUCAAAUUUGAUGUAGGCACCAGCUGAGGCUGCAGAGCUCAGCAGCAGUUCAAGCAUCUUUUAUCUCCUGGGUGGUCCCUAAGUCAGAGCUCUCAUUUCCUCUUUCCCCCUCCUUUCUCAAACUAGGCAUUUGCUGAUGCCAUUGUUUAAUCCCGCCAAGGAUCUGCUCCAUUUUCCAUGCUCCGAGAUGGGUCCAAGCCGGCGUUUCCCUGGCGCAGAGCUCUGCAAAUGGAACAGGCCCUUUCCCAGCUCUCCAGUACACAGUGUGGUGGGGACACGUCCCACCACUGGUAUUCCAGAGUACAGAGAAGUUCCUGGGCUCAUCAGAGCACAGCAACACCACUGCUGUGAAGGCACAUCCACAUGGGAAACACCAACCCACAGCAAAGUGAUCCUGGGCACAUUCAGAGGGACAAACCCUUUGGGCUUUGGGUGAUGCUCAUUUCUCUACCCACUUGGUAGAUCCCUGUGAGCAGUAUGGGUGGGGAGGGGCACCAGCCUGUGAGGAGAACAAAACUGGGAGCAGAUAGGGAAAAGUUGGCUGCUUUUCUUUUCCUCCCCUGGCACAGUGGGCUCUCUCUCCGUCAUCUCUCUGCAGCCGAGCUGUGCCGGGGCGGGGGCCGGUGCUCCCUGGGCCGGUGCUGCGGGACCGUCCCCACGCCUUGGCUUUGCCAGCCCUGGGUCUUUCCAGGUCGUGAGAAAAGCAGGUCAAGCAUGUGAGCAUGUGGCUGCCUUUCAGGCACACACUGGAGAACUGUUCUAUCCAGAGAGAUUUCCCUUUAUCAUAGGGAGUUACUGGAGCGGCCAGAGCUGCAAAGCAAGGAUUUAAAAGCAUCUCUGAGUGUUGGAAUUGAGGUGAAGUCCUCCUGCUUUAGGGCACAAGCUCAACUCUAAAGGAGGGGACAAGAUGGAAAUUUUCCUUUGAGAAGAUUAUGUUAAAACUUUCAAAAAGGUGUUUGAUUUGAUAGGAGAGGAUUUGCAUCUUUGCCUGCAACAGCUGAUACCACA